rnacentral:rRNA from 1 species
UGGGGAAUUUUGCACAAUGGGGGAAACCCUGAUGCAGCGACGCCGCGUGAUUUAGAAGGCCUUCGGGUUGUAAAAAUCUUUUUUACGGGAAGAAAAUGACAGUACCGUAAGAAUAAGGUCCGGCUAAAUACGUGCCAGCAGCCGCGGUAAUACGUAUGGACCGAGCGUUGUCCGGAAUCAUUGGGCGUAAAGGGUACGUAGGCGGCCUAGUUAGUAAGAAGUGAAAUAAUAUAGCUCAACUAUAUAAAGCUUUUAAAACUGAUAGGCUUGAGAGGUGGAAGGGAAAGUGGAAUUCCUAGUGUAGCGGUGAAAUGCGCAGAUAUUAGGAAGAAUACCGGUGGCGAAGGCGACUUUCUGGUCAUCAUCUGACGCUGAGGUACGAAAGCGUGGGUAGCAAACAGG